AUGCCACCAGUGCUCCUCCUCGUCCUGGCCGCCUCGCUCGUGGCGCUGCCGUCGUGCCAAAGCCUUCCGGUGCUCGCUCCGGUCACCAAGGACCCCGCCACUUCCCUCUACACAAUCCCCUUCCACGACGGCGCCAGCCUCGUCCUCGACGUCGCCGGCCCGCUCGUCUGGUCCACGUGCGAGGGCGGCCAGUCGCCGGCGGAGAUCCCGUGCAGCAGCCCCACCUGCCUCCUCGCCAACGCCUACCCCGCCCCGGGCUGCCCCGCGCCCAGCUGCGGCAGCGACAGGCACGACAAGCCGUGCACGGCGUACCCAUCCAACCCGGUCACAGGCGCGUGCGCCGCCGGGAGCCUCUUCCACACCAGGUUCGCAGCCAACACCACCGACGGGAACAAGCCGGUGAGCGAGGUGAACGUCGGGGUCCUGGCGGCGUGCGCGCCGAGCAAGCUCCUGGCGUCGCUGCCCCGGGGCUCCACGGGCGUGGCCGGGCUCGCGGCCUCCGGCCUGGCGCUGCCGGCGCAGGUGGCGUCCGCGCAGAAGGUCGCCAACAGGUUCCUCCUUUGCCUCCCCACCGGCGGCCCUGGCGUGGCCAUCUUUGGCGGCGGCCCGGUCCCGUGGCCGCAAUUCACGCAGUCGAUGCCGUACACGCCGCUCGUCACCAAGGGCGGCAGCCCCGCACACUACAUCUCGGCCAGGUUCAUCGAAGUGGGGGACACCCGCGUCCCUGUAUCGGAGGGCGCGCUCGCCACCGGCGGCGUGAUGCUCAGCACGAGGCUUCCCUACGCCUUGCUCCGCCCCGACGUGUACCGCCCGUUGACGCUGGGCAACAACCUCGGCGGGUACUCGGUGCCCAACGUCCAGCUGGCGCUCGAUGGCGGGAGUGACACGUGGACGAUGACCGGGAAGAACUCGAUGGUGGACGUCAAGCCGGGGACGGCGUGCGUUGUGUUCGUGGAGAUGAAGGGGGUGGAGGCCGGCGACGGCAGGGCGCCGGCGGUGAUCCUCGGAGGAGCCCAGAUGGAGGACUUCGUGCUCGACAUCGACAUGGAGAAGAAGCGGCUCGGGUUUAGCAGGCUGCCGCAUUUUACGGGUUGCGGCGGCCUGUAA
rnacentral:rRNA from 1 species